GAUGAACGCUGACAGAAUGCUUAACACAUGCAAGUCUACUUGAACUUCGGUUUGGGUGGCGGACGGGUGAGUAACGCGUAAAGAACUUGCCUCACAGAUAGGGACAACAUUUGGAAACGAAUGCUAAUACCUGAUAUUAUGAUUUUAGGGCAUCCUAGGAUUAUGAAAGCUAUAUGCGCUGUGAGAGAGCUUUGCGUCCCAUUAGCUAGUUGGAGAGGUAACAGCUCACCAAGGCGAUGAUGGGUAGCCGGCCUGAGAGGGUGAUCGGCCACAAGGGGACUGAGACACGGCCCUUACUCCUACGGGAGGCAGCAGUGGGGAAUAUUGGACAAUGGACCAAGAGUCUGAUCCAGCAAUUCUGUGUGCACGAUGAAGUUUUUCGGAAUGUAAAGUGCUUUCAGUUGGGAAGAAAAAAAUGACGGUACCAACAGAAGAAGUGACGGCUAAAUACGUGCCAGCAGCCGCGGUAAUACGUAUGUCACAAGCGUUAUCCGGAUUUAUUGGGCGUAAAGCGCGUCUAGGUGGUUAUGUAAGUCUGAUGUGAAAAUGCAGGGCUCAACUCUGUAUUGCGUUGGAAACUGUGUAACUAGAGUACUGGAGAGGUAAGCGGAACUACAAGUGUAGAGGUGAAAUUCGUAGAUAUUUGUAGGAAUGCCGAUGGGGAAGCCAGCUUACUGGACAGAUACUGACGCUGAAGCGCGAAAGCGUGGGUAGCAAACAGG
rnacentral:rRNA from 1 species